rnacentral:rRNA from 1 species
UGAGCAAUCUGCCCUUCUCUUCGGAAUAAGCGUGGGAAACCGCGUCUAAUGCCGAAUACGACCUCCUUUCGCAUGAUCGGAGGUGGAAAGCUCCGGCGGAGAAGGAUGAGCUCGCGGCCUAUCAGCUAGUUGGUGUGGGUAAUGGCCCACCAAGGCGACGACGGGUAGCCGGCCUGAGGAGGGUGACCGGCCACACGUGGGACUGAGACACGGCCCAGACCUCCGUACGGGAGGCAG